rnacentral:rRNA from 1 species
AGAGUUUGAUCCUGGCUCAGGAUAAACGCUGGCGGCGUGCCUAACACAUGCAAGUCGAACGCACUCUUGCAAGAGAGUGAGUGGCGGACGGGUGAGUACCACGUGGGUACCUACCUUGAGGUGAGGAAUACCACCGAGAAAUCGGUGACAAUACCGCAUACGCUCGCAAGAGCAAAGUCUCUCUUCGGAGAGACGCCCCAAGAUGGGCCUGCGCCUGAUUAGCUGGUUGGUGAGGUAAAAGCUCACCAAGGCGACGAUCAGUAGCUGGUCUGAGAGGAUGAUCAGCCACACUGGGAUUGAGAACGGCCCAGACUCCUACGGGGGGCAGCAGUGAGGAAUUUUCGUCAAUGGGGGCAACCCUGAACGAGCAACGCCGCGUGCAGGAUGACACUUUUCGGAGCGUAAACUGCUUUUCUGGGGGAAGAGACCGGACGGUACCCCAGGAAGAAGCCCCGGCUAACUACGUGCCAGCAGCCGCGGUAAUACGUAGGGGGCAAGCGUUGUCCGGAGUUACUGGGCGUAAAGCGCCCGCAGGCGGUCUUCUAAGUUCAGACUGACAAUCCCCAGCUUAACUGGGGAGGGUGUAUGAAAACUAGGAGACUUGAGGCAGAGAGAGGGACAGGGAAUUCCGGGUGGAGUGGUGAAAUGCGUAGAUAUCCGGAGGAACACCAAAGGCGAAGGCACUGUCCUGGCUCUGACCUGACGCUGAGGGGCGAAAGCUAGGGGAGCGAACGGGAUUAGAUACCCCGGUAGUCC